UGCCCAGACUCCUACGGGAGGCAGCAGUGGGGAAUAUUGCACAAUGGGCGAAAGCCUGAUGCAGCAACGCCGCGUGAGUGAUGAAGGCCUUCGGGUCGUAAAACUCUGUUCUCAAGGAAGAUAAUGACGGUACUUGAGGAGGAAGCUCCGGCUAACUACGUGCCAGCAGCCGCGGUAAUACGUAGGGAGCGAGCGUUAUCCGGAAUUAUUGGGUGUAAAGGGUGCGUAGACGGGAAAUUAAGUUAGUUGUGAAAUCCCUUGGCUUAACUGAGGAACUGCAACUAAAACUGAUUUUCUUGAGUACUGGAGAGGAAAGUGGAAUUCCUAGUGUAGCGGUGAAAUGCGUAGAUAUUAGGAGGAACACCAGUGGCGAAGGCGACUUUCUGGACAGUAACUGACGUUGAGGCACGAAAGUGUGGGGAGCAAACAGGAUUAGAUACCCCUGUA
rnacentral:rRNA from 1 species